UGCUGGCCUUCCACCGCCAGCGACGGGUUACCGACGAGGCUUGUCCAUCUUUGCCAACAGUGCGGCGGGGUCUCCCCUCCAAUCUCACGGCAGCACAGCGGUUAAGAGCUUAAGGCACGGCUGCGUCCCCAUCGCGCACCUGCUCUGAGCGCCCAUA
rfam:Pseudolabrys sp. Root1462 contig_1, whole genome shotgun sequence.